UACACCACUAUAUACACCAUCCCACAUGUUCUUAAAAUGUGUUACUGACACAUCUCCAUCGAGGAAUGAAGUCUAUAUUCCCCUCCUUUGAACCUGCCUAGAACUUUAUAAAUACCUUAACUAAUAGAAUUCAGUGGAUGUGAUGUUUCCUGACUUCAGAAGCUAUGUCAUAAAAGACAAAAUGGCUUCUUCCUGGCUGUCUCAGCAUACGUGGCUUUCAAACUCAGACACCAUACUGUAAGGAGCCCAAGCCACAUGCAGAAGCCACAUGACAUUGGUCAGUGAAAAGCCCCAGCAAGACUUUUAGCCAACACAAGCAUUAACUACCAGACAUAUGAAUGAGUGACCUUUCAAAUGAAGCCAGUUGAAAAUCAAAACAUCAUAGAAUAGAGAAAAGCCAUCUCUGCUCUGCCCUAUCUGAAUUUCUUACCCACAGAAACUAUGAAAGAUAAUUUUAAAAAAAAUAUUGUUGUUGGAAGCCAUGGAGUUUGUAGUGCUAUUAGAUAUAUGGAUGUAGGGCAAUAGAUAACUCAUAGAACAGAGAAAAUAAAAAUACAGAAUUAGAUAGCAAGAACAAGUAGAAACAUAUUAACAAACACAGUGAAUAUAAAAAAGAAUUAAACUCAUCCAUUAAAUGGGUAAGAAAAAGUCAUCAGAAGAUUGGCAUUCCCAUCACGGCUCAGCAGUAACAAACCCGACUAGUAUCCAUGAGGAUGUGGGUUCAAACCCUGGCCUUGUUCAGUGGUUAAGGAAAUAGUGUUGCCAUGAGCUGUGCUGUAGGUCACGAUGUAGCUUGGAUCCAGCAUUGCUGUGGCUGUGGCCAGAAGCAUUAGCUCCAAUUGGACCGCUAGCCUGAGAUCCUUCGUAUGCCAUGGUCAAAAACAGUAUUAAAAGGGACAAAAAUUGAUGGUUUGUAUUGAUGAAGAAUAAUUAUACAAGUUAUAAGAAGCAUAUAUAUGUAUUAUAGCAACACAGUUUUGAAAUACAUACAAAUUUUAUACAUAAAAUCAUAGAAAAAACCUAGGAAUUUAAAAACUCCACUCACAACAGUGGCAACAUCUGUGACAGUGAUCAGAGGACUAGGUUGGAUGAUACUAAAUCAGUCCCAAGGAGACUCUCCCCAGCACAAAGACACAUACAUGCAAAAACACAAAUACACAGCUGCUGUAACAGGUAGGAACACACACAAACUAGGAUUUCAUAUACUGAAAGAACAAAAUGUUAAUAGCCUCAUAUGUCUACUUAAAUAAAAGGUCUUUGUUAGCUAAGUAGUUGAAAAUACUCUGAGAUAACCAACAUGUAUUUUCAAUAUUACUCUCAUUCCAACAAACUAACUUCAAGGAAAAUGCAAGAAGAAUACAUUGGCACAGAUGUGACACAAAGAAAUGUGCUGUCCCUGUCCUAUAACCAUUUAUUUGUUUAACAAAUAUUUAGAAUUAUACCAUAGGCUAAGCACUAUUAGGCAUCAAGGAUACAAAAGUGAACCUGACAGCAUAGUCUUUACUCAAGGAUUAUUAUAUUUAGUACUGGAUGUAGACUCUGAACUAACCAACCCAUAAAUGACUCUAAACUUUUAAAUUGUGCAGGGAUUCUAAAGAAAAAUAAUCAAACAUUAUGAGAACAAAGGGAGCCUGAUCACAUAGAGUGGUCAGGAAAGGAAUACCUAGGAGAGAGAUUUAACCAGUGGCUAAAAUUAUGAUUUAGAAUUAGCCAAAUCACUACUUAUUCUCGUAAAGAUGGAGUAAUAGGGGCCAGUUUGACCUUUGGCCUAAAAUAAUUAAGAAACCAGACAAUUAUUUUCAAACAUUGAACAUAUGGCACCAUGGGAAAGAGAUCAUGAGAGACAUAAAUAAAUGAAGUGUGUCCUAUGAUUGUCCCAGCUUACAGUCCUGAAACAGUUUUCAGUUCUCAGAAGAGCGAGCUGGAAACUAGCUGGAGUGCAGUGAUCCUACUGAACUGAGGAAAGAUAUCCUGGAUUUGGAGAGGCCAAGGAAGCACCAAAGAGGGGAAAGUUGCAGAGGGAGAAACACCUUGGAGAUAUGCAAAAGGUCUCCCUCACGUCUUCAAAGCCAGAUAAAGAUUCACCUAAAAGAAACGCAGGGGACCAACCCUAGAGAAAACACAGAGACAGAAAUAUUUGUUACUACAAGCCAGAAAGAAAAAACUUUAUAAUUAACCAGGAUGGGGAAGGGGACUCAAAAGGCUAUUGGCUCAAAAGGAACCUAAAUUACUUUACUUUCUGGAGUAAAGGCUAUUUUGUUCCUGCCUAAAAAGUUUAACACAAAGCUUUGAAAGGAUCAAACUAUUUGAAGGCCAAUUAAAUAUACCUCAGAACAAAACUCAAGAAUAUUUAUAGGAAUACAAAAAUAUCCAGCACUUAACAAGGUGAAAUUAAAAAUACCUAUCAUCCAGUUGAAAAUUAGAAGGCAUACAACGAAACAGAAAAAAUACAACUCAUAAUGAGACAGUAAAACAUCUUUAAAUUAUUAAAAGAGAAAACUGUCAAUUGUUAAUUCUAUUCCCAGCAAAAAAUCUUUCCUAAGUGAUAAAAAAUAAAGACAUGACAUACAUACAAAGGCAAGAAGAAUUCAUCAACAGCAGACCUGCUACAAAAAUAUUUUUUAAAAAAUCCUUGGGAGUUCCUGCUCUACCACAGCAAAAAAGAAUCCAAGUUAUAUCCAUGAGGAUGCGAAUUUGAUCCCUGGCCUUGCUCACUGGGUUGGGGAUCCAGUGUUGCUGUGAACUGUGGUGUACAUUGCAGACAUAGCUGGGAUCCUGAGUUGCUGUGGCUGUGGUGUAGGCUGGCAGCUGUAG
ensembl:lncRNA